GUGGUCUAGUGGUUAGAGUGUAGGGUCGGCAGGUAGCCUAGUGGUUAGAGUGUAGGGUCGGCAGGUGGUCUAGUGGUUAGAGUGUAGGGUCGGCAGGUAGCCUAGUGGUUAGAGUGUAGGGUCGGCAGGUGGUCUAGUGGUUAGAGUGUAGUGUCGACAGGUAGUCUAGUGGUUAGAGUGUAGGGUUGGCAGGUAGCCUAGUGGUUAGAGUGUAGGGUCGGCAGGUAGCCUAGUGGUUAGAGUGUAGGGUCGGCAGGUAGCCUAGUGGUUAGAGUGUAGGGGCGGCAGGUAGUCUAGUGGUUGAAGUGUAGGGUCGACAGGUAGCCUAGUGGUUAGAGUGUAGGGUCGGCAGGUAGUCUAGUGGUUAGAGCGUAGG
ensembl:lncRNA